UCGAGAAUCUUCCGCAAUGCACGAAAGUGUGACGGAGCGACGCCGCGUGAUGGAUGAAGUAUUUCGGUAUGUAAACAUCUUUUAUAAGUGAGGAAGUAUAUUGACGUUAGCUUAUGAAUAAGGGGCUCCUAAUCUCGUGCCAGCAGGAGCGGUAAUACGAGAGCCCCGAGCGUUAUCCGGAAUUAUUGGGCGUAAAGGGUCAGUAGGUGGCCAUAUUAGUCUCUUGUCAAAGACCCGUGCUCAACACGGGGAAGGCAAGGGAAACGGUAUGGCUAGAGUCUGUGAGGGGUGUGCGGAACUCAAGGUGUAGGGGUGAAAUCCGUUGAUAUCUUGGGGAACACCAAAAGCGAAGGCAGCACACUGGCGCACGACUGACACUGAAUGACGAAACCCUGGGUAG
rnacentral:rRNA from 1 species